UUUAGGUGAUACAAACAACCGUUAUAUUAUGUUCGCACCGAAUUGAAAUCCUCUUGAAAACACAAUUUGUAGAUUGUGGAACCAAAGUCGUUCUGACCGACAUUGUGUGUUUUCGAUGAGUUUUCAUUGAUAGUUCACACAUUCAUUUGUUACGUACGUUUAGGCCAACGAGAAUGGUAAGUUUUAGAAUUUUUAAUAUUUGCUUACAAUUAUUAUUGUUUGUUUUAUAGAAUUCUGAGAAGAAAAUUUUAAUUACGAAAUUAUUGGCUUUGAGAAACCGGAUAAACUUCUUGCGCAACGACGAUUCUUUAAGAGAAUCGAUAGAAGUUCUUAGUACCCAGUACAUUCGCCUUAAAAAAAAACAUUCGCCUUAAAAAGCAGACUUGAACAAAAAACGUUUAAUUCUAUUAUGUAUAAUAAAGGACCUUGGGAUGCUGAUUAAAUCAUGUUGGACCAAACAACGCAAAAAUCAAUUUUGGGAACACGAUUGCCAACGAAAUGGAUCCGUUUUUUUUAAAGAAAACUUUCGCAUGAACCGCGGUUCAUUUAAAAAAUUAUGCGAAAUCCUCCGGCGUCUACAAAAAAUGGAUGCGAACUACAGAAAAGUUAUUCCGCUCGAGAUAAGAGUGGCUAUAGCAAUAUUAUAUAUGUUUGUAAGUAAAUUUACGGUUUGCGAAAUUUUGCUGGAAUUUUGUACCGAAAUCUGGAGAUUACUGCAACCAUCCUGCUUCAAAAUGCUGCCACUAAAUAUAGAAAGCAUAACAGAAUUGGUUACUGCUUUCGAGGUACUUGGAUUCCCACAAUGCUUAGGAGCAAUUGACGGAUGCCACAUUGAGGAACAAAUGUUGAACACGCAGUCGUUUCCACCGAAAUUUCCAUCGGUUCGGAGUUCGUAGAACCUUUUUAAUAAUGUAUAUAUAUAUUCCAUAAAAAAACACAUGUAUCUUACUUUGAAAGCUUUCCUCCACUAAGCCCUCUGUGUUGUAGCUUUUAUAUGGCGACAGUAUUGCGCUCAUUUUUUUUAAACAAAGUUUUCUUCUUAUUAUAAAACAUAAUAACAUAUAACGCAUUAAUAUUUACUCAAUACUGGUUUUGACUUCUGCCGCCGUGAAGGUGACACCUUGCUGCUGCAGCUCCACUGCCAUUUCUUCUAAUAUGUGGCUAUUCUUUCUUGGGCCUCGAAGCGAACCAACUUUUGCUUCCCACAACUCAAUUAGUAAGGCUUCUCCCAUCUCACUCCACGAAUUUCGUUUUUUAUACAAUAUAUUUUUUUCUUCAUUUGAACACAGUGGAAUGUAAACAAAUUGUCAAGUGCCAUUUAGGGCUGGCAAAAUAUGUCUUCUAAUAAUAUCGAUUAAACUAGAGCAGGCACCGAUUAUAAUGAGUGGAAUGUAAGUUUUCAAGAGAUUUUUAGCGAAAACUGUGUUUUCGUUUGACAGAUCUUGUAUGGAAGAAAACACAAGUUUUCGGGUGAAAACCUCUUUUGUCUAUGAAAACACGAAUUUUGUGUCGGUGCGAAUUAUUAUACUCUGUAGCAGCAGGUUGCGAAAGUAUAAUAAUAGAAUAUAAAAUGUUCGGUUAUACCCGAUCGAAUUUCAACUUUUUGCAUUUGCGUUUAGAACUUUUUGUCCUCUACGCCUAAGAUUUUUUCUUUUUUUGACUUCCGGGUUCUCAUGAGUAUUGUAUUAUUAUUUUUCGUGAAUUAUUUAACUUUCACUAAGAGUAAAAUUUCACGUUGAGUAAAAAUUGAGAUAUUUUGAUUUAAGCUUGGUACAUGUGUUUCUUGGCAAUCUGAGGAGAUUGGGGGUAAGCGGACGAUAACAUAAAAAAAAAAAGUAAGAGGCAUUAAAUUAUAUAGAGCUGCACAGCAAUUGGUGUAAAUAUUGGCCAAUGUGCAUGGCACCGCGCACCUUUAGAUGAGAUUCCUUCUGAUCUCAUCUGUACCCUUCACUCUACAAUAUAUGUAUGCAGUAAUUAAAAAACUGGGACAAACGUUAACGGUAAUUAUAUAUUGAUAUCUCUUCGAUAAUAUUGAAAUAUUGUAUAGAAUUGAAAUAAUUGAUACAGCAAAUGAAAGGACGAAGUUAAUAGAUUUCACAAAAACAAUUUCGUUAAAUUUAUUAAUCCGGGUGUCAUUCGAAGCAGCAUUUCGAAGUUUGUAUCGAUCGAUAAAAACCUAAAAUAUGUUUAUUACCAUACAUACAUAAUGUCAUUAUAAUCAAUUAAUGUCUUUGUUAAUUAGUAAUAUCGAUAUACCGUCUUCGAGAAGGUAUGUAAAUAAUAAUAGAGAAAAUGCCGAUGGCUGUCCUUUGCCUAGUAGUAUCAUCUUAUUUUCGGAAUUAAGUUGUAAAAGGGUUUCCAAUAAGAGUGAUAUGGGAUAUAAGAAAUAGUCUAAUGGAGCUAAAUCACAACUUCUUGGAAGACAUUCAAUGUCACAAUUUCUUAAAAUUAACGAAUUUCCAAACCAGCACAAAACUAUUCGGCUAAUUUAAACAAGCUCUUCUUAAUGUAGAAAUAGUGGGUUAUUAAUGAAAUGUAGUACUUUUUUUUCCUCAAAAUUAUUUUAAGUAAGCCGAGUAACGAUAUUUCAAGAAGUACCUGUAUCACUAAAACUAGAACUGCUAUGAAGAAACUUCAUAAAACAAAAAACAAAAUUCAAUUCAAAUAAUAAAUUUUAUCCAUAUUUCUUUCGUUCACUCCCGGUCCAACAUCAAAUAUCGCAACCCAUAUCACCGCAGCCCCAAACCAUACUUUAUCGUUGGGCGAAAGAUCGAUUAUUUAAGCUCUUCAUUAGCUUUGUACCAUACAUAAGAUUGUCGUACGUUGGAUUUUCUUUUUGUUUGUAUAUAAAACCCGAUUCUAAAAAUGUUCUUUUAUGUGCUCUAGUCUUGGUCUUACUCGUUAAUAAUUUUUUCCACUCCACUCUACCAUUGUACUAUUGUUUUCUAAGUUCGUUUUAAAUCGUUUUUGCAUGAGCCUUCUUUCCGAGAUACUUUUCAGCUGCGGAUGUUAACUUUUAGGCACUAUUAUGACUGUUUUUCAUUAUUUCAGCCAACGUUGUUUUUAUAUCUUUUGAUUUAUUGAAAGCAGUUGUUGGUGCUCUUUUAACAUUUUCGCUUAAAUCUCACACAUAUUUUCUGCUUUUUUG